CAGCCGUAAACUAUGCUCGCUAGGUGUCAGGGACGGUGCGACCGUUUCUGGUGCCGCAGGGAAGCCGUGAAGCGAGCCACCUGGGAAGUACGGUCGCAAGGCUGAAACUUAAAGGAAUUGGCGGGGGAGCACUACAACGGGUGGAGCCUGCGGUUUAAUUGGACUCAACGCCGGAAAUCUUACCGGGACCGACAGCAACAUGAAGGCCAAGCUGAAGACUUUGCCGGAUUAGCUGAGAGGAGGUGCAUGGCGUAGUCGUGU
rnacentral:rRNA from 1 species